UACGGGGGGGGCAAGCGUUGUUCGGAAUUACUGGGCGUAAAGGGCUCGUAGGCGGCCAACUAAGUCAGACGUGAAAUCCCUCGGCUUAACCGGGGAACUGCAUCUGAUACUGGAUGGCUUGAGUUCGGGAGAGGGAUGCGGAAUUCCAGGUGUAGCGGUGAAAUGCGUAGAUAUUAGGAGGAAUACCAGUAGCGAAGGCGGCUCUCUGGACUGUAACUGACACUGAGGCACGAAAGCGUGGGGAGCAAACAGG
rnacentral:rRNA from 1 species